CAGUCUUGGCUGAGUGGUUAAAGCGUGUGCCUGCUAAGUACAUGGAUAUUUUCCUCGUGAGUUCGAAUCUCACAGACUGCGA
rnacentral:tRNA from 1 species